rnacentral:sRNA from 19 species
UUCCCCGUUCGAUGUUCUGAUGAAUAUUGUAGUAGUACGGUUCGCCAAAACCGCUUGAUUGCUUAGUUCUCAAUCAAUUUACCACACAAAUUCAUUCUGGAACUGACGACGGGUUUUUUG